CAUCACCCCCAGGCCGGUUGGAAUUUUUCCCAGCUUUUUUUAGAUUGGCUUCCGAUUGGCUACCCGAUUUUCAUAAUUAUGUUUAAGACUUCGCUUCAAUUAGAGAAUGCCAAUUGCGUAUAACACAUUUAUAUACCUCUUUGACCAACGUAUCUCUUGUCUCUCGCAUCGCUGAAUAACGCAUUGAACUGCGAUAAGUAUUGUGAAUUGCAAAAUUCAUUGAAUCAUCUAAUCUUUGAACGCACCUUGCACUCCUUGCUAUUCCGAGGAUUAUGCCUGUUUGAGUCUCAUGGUAUUCUCAACCCCUAAAUUUUUGUAAUGAAGGUUUAGCGGGCUUGGACUUGUAUGUUGUGUCGGCCCUUGUCGGUCGACUCCUCUGAAAUGCAUUAGCGUGAAUCUUACGGAUUUUCUUCAUUGUGAUAAUUAUCUGCGCUGUGGUGUUGAAAUAUUUAUGGUGUUCAUGCUUCGAACCGUCUCCUUGCCGAAACAAUUUUUUUAAAAUCCGAACUCAAAUCCGGUUAGAAUUCCCGCUUAACUUAAACUUAUCAAUUAGCA
rnacentral:rRNA from 1 species